CCAUAUUAGAUGAUAUUUUAUCCUAUUUUAAAUCAUAUUCAAAUAAGAAUUAAAUCUGGAAGAAAGAGAAUCCCAAAUAAGGUGGGGCACAAACUGUUGGCACCCCCUUCUCCUUCACGCGUUCAAGAAGAAAAAAAGGGGUGCGUCCCAAUGUACACCCUCCCAUUCUUGGUAUGAAAUCUGGAGAGAGAGUCUCAGAG
rnacentral:lncRNA from 1 species